AUUCCGCUUCCGUUUAUGUGGCGUGUUUGUUUACCCUGGAUACAAGAUGCUGAUUCCACUGUAUCUACGAAUAAGGAAGUCAAUAUAUUUGAGGGGGUGGUCGAAAUACUGCCAAACUUUCAGCUGUAGCUCAGACAGUCCACGACAUCCUGGGUGAAACAAAUGUUUCCAUUUCUGGACUGGAGGAAGGCAUUGACACCUCCUUUCUCCAAGUCAUUGAUAUGACAAGUUCACUGGAUAAAGAGAGCCUGUUUGCAGCAAUGCCUCCAGUGCAGACAGUGCAGACGGCGCAGCCCACAUACAGUAUGCACAUGCAGGACUUCCAGCCUGUACAAAAUCCACCACUGCCUUGCCCAGAUCAGGAUAGGGACCAUCAGGCCAGGAAGCGCCAGCUGGAGCUUGAUGCCCUAGAAGCUCA